GAUGAACGCUGGCGGCGUGCCUAAUACAUGCAAGUCGAGCGAACAGACGAGGAGCUUGCUCCUCUGACGUUAGCGGCGGACGGGUGAGUAACACGUGGAUAACCUACCUAUAAGACUGGGAUAACUUCGUGAAACCGGAGCUAAUACCGGAUAAUAUAUUGAACCGCAUGGUUCAAUAGUGAAAGACGGUUUUGCUGUCACUUAUAGAUGGAUCCGCACCGCAUUAGCUAGUUGGUAAGGUAACGGCUUACCAAGGCGACGAUGCGUAGCCGACCUGAGAGGGUGAUCGGCCACACUGGAACUGAGACACGGUCCAGACUCCCACGGGAGGCAGCAGUAGGGAAUCUUCCGCAAUGGGCGAAAGCCUGACGGAGCAACGCCGCGUGAGUGAUGAAGGUCUUCGGAUCGUAAAACUCUGUUAUUAGGGAAGAACAAAUGUGUAAGUAACUAUGCACGUCUUGACGGUACCUAAUCAGAAAGCCACGGCUAACUACGUG
rnacentral:rRNA from 1 species